AUACGGAGGGUGCAAGCGUUGUUCGGAAUCACUGGGCGUAAAGGGCGCGCAGGCGGUUUGGUAAGUCAGAUGUGAAAGCCCACGGCUCAACCGUGGAAGUGCAUUUGAAACUGCCAGACUUGAGUACCAGAGGGGAAAGUGGAAUUCCCGGUGUAGAGGUGAAAUUCGUAGAUAUCGGGAGGAAUACCGGUGGCGAAGGCGACUUUCUGGCUGGAUACUGACGCUGAGGCGCGAAAGCGUGGGGAGCAAACAGGAUUAGAAACCCUUGUAGUCC
rnacentral:rRNA from 1 species